AGUGGGAACGCAUUCUAAUUUGAUUACGUCGCUCAGAGGUGGAGCUAGAGUCCUCUUUUCUAGUUAAGGAACAGACUUCCUGGAAGCGGUUAAGCCGCAGAUAGGAACGUUGUUUCCAAUAAAGCAUCACGAUCUCCGUGAUGUCUCGUGUUCUCUGGACGGCCCCAGAAAAAUUAAUGAAGGUUAUAA
rnacentral:ncRNA from 1 species